AGAGGGGUGGCCUGCUUGUUCCUUCCCCCAAGAUCCUUGUGUGUCCUUCCUGAAGGUGGUUGCUCAUGGGAGAAGAAGACCUUCCCUGAAUAGAAGAGGACCUGUCUUCCAUCAAGGGUCUUUGAGUGGCUGUGCUCCCCUUCAAGAACCUCCAAACACAUUCUUAGGGGUUCAAGGUUAGCCUCAACUAUACAGCCAAUUCUAGGUCUGUCUGGGCUAUGAGACCCUGUCCCU
ensembl:misc_RNA 7SK 7SK RNA